CUGAACACCAGGUCAGAGAGAGAGAACUGAACGCCAGGUCAGAGAGAGAGAGAACUGAACGCCAGGUCAGAGAGAGAGAGAACUGAACACCAGGUCAGAGAGAGAGAGAACUGAACGCCAGGUCAGAGAGAGAGAGAACUGAACGCCAGGUCAGAGAGAGAGAGAACUGAACACCAGGUCAGAGAGAGAGAACUGAACGCCAGGUCAGGGUGAGAACUGAACACCAGGUCAGAGAGACAGAACUGAACACCAGGUCAGACAGAGAACUGAACGCCAGGUCAGAGAGAGAGAAAUGAACACCAGAACUGAACACCAGGUCAGAGAGAGAGAACUGAACACCAGGUCAGAGAGAGAGAACUGAACGCCAGGUCAGAGAGAGAGAGAACUGAACGCCAGGUCAGAGAGAGAGAACUGAACGCCAGGUCAGAGAGAGAGAACUGAACGCCAGGUCAGAGAGAGAAAACUGAACACCAGGUCAGAGAGAGAGAGAGAACUGAACGCCAGGUCAGAGAGAGAAAACUGAACGCCAGGUCAGAGAGAGAGAACUGAACGCCAGGUCAGGGAGAGAACUUAACACCAGGUCAGAGAGAGAGAACUGAACACCAGGUCAGAGAGAGAGAACUGAACGCCA